UUCCGGUUGAUCCUGCCGGACCUGACUGCUAUCGGAUUGAUACUAAGCCAUGCGAGUCAUCGUAGCAAUACAAGGCAGACGGCUCAGUAACGCGUAGUCAACCUAACCUAUGGACGGGAAUAACCUCGGGAAACUGAGAAUAAUGCCCGAUAGAACACUAUACCUGGAAUGGUUUGUGUUCCAAAUGAUUUAUCGCCGUAGGAUGGGACUGCGGCCUAUCAGUUUGUUGGUGAGGUAAUGGCCCACCAAGACUAUUACAGGUACGGGCUCUGAGAGGAGUAGCCCGGAGAUGGGUACUGAGACACGGACCCAGGCCCUAUGGGGCGCAGCAGGCGAGAAAACUUUGCAAUGUGCGAAAGCACGACAAGGUUAAUCCGAGUGAUUUGUGCUAAACGAAUCUUUUGUUAGUCCUAGAACCACUAACGAGUAAGGGGUGGGCAAGUUCUGGUGUCAGCCGCCGCGGUAAAACCAGCACCUCAAGUGGUCAGGAUGAUUAUUGGGCCUAAAGCAUCCGUAGCCGGCUCUGUAAGUUUUCGGUUAGAUCUGUACGCUUAACGUACAGGCUGCCGGGAAUACUGCAGAGCUAGGGAGUGGGAGAGGUAGACGGUACUCGGUAGGAAGGGGUAAAAUCCUUUGAUCUAUUGAUGACCACCUGUGGCGAAGGCGGUCUACCAGAACACGUCCGACGGUGAGGGAUGAAAGCUGGGGGAGCAAACCGGAUUAGAUACCCGGGUAGUCCCAGCUGUAAACUAUGCGAACUCAGUGAUGCAUUGACUUGUGGUCAAUGCAGUGCUGCAGGGAAGCCGUUAAGUUUGCCGCCUGGGAAGUACGUACGCAAGUAUGAAACUUAAAGGAAUUGGCGGGGGAGCACCACAAGGGGUGAAGCCUGCGGUUCAAUUGGAUUCAACGCCGGA
rnacentral:rRNA from 1 species